UGGGGAAUUUUGGACAAUGGGCGCAAGCCUGAUCCAGCCAUGCCGCGUGCGGGAAGAAGGCCUUCGGGUUGUAAACCGCUUUUGUCAGGGAAGAAAUCUUCUGAGUUAAUACCUCGGGAGGAUGACGGUACCUGAAGAAUAAGCACCGGCUAACUACGUGCCAGCAGCCGCGGUAAUACGUAGGGUGCAAGCGUUAAUCGGAAUUACUGGGCGUAAAGCGUGCGCAGGCGGUUUUGUAAGACAGAGGUGAAAUCCCCGGGCUCAACCUGGGAACUGCCUUUGUGGCUGCAAGGCUUGAGUGCGGCAGAGGGGGGAUGGAAUUCCGCGUGUAGCAGUGAAAUGCGUAGAUAUGCGGAGGAACACCGAUGGCGAAGGCAAUCCCCUGGGCCUGCACUGACGCUCAUGCACGAAAGCGUGGGGAGCAAACAGGAUUAGAUACCCUGGUAGUCCACGCCCUAAACGAUGUCAACUGGUUGUUGGGAAGGUUCCUUCUCAGUAACGUAGCUAACGCGUGAAGUUGACCGCCUGGGGAGUACGGCCGCAAGGUUGAAACUUAAAUGAAUUGACGGGGUCAUAGCUGUUUCCUG
rnacentral:rRNA from 1 species